rnacentral:rRNA from 1 species
UACGUAGGGGCCGAGCGUUGUCCGGAGUUAUUGGGCGUAAAGCGCGCGCAGGCGGCCUCGCGCGCCCGACGUGAAAGCCCCCGGCUUAACCGGGGAGGGUCGUUGGGGACGGCGGGGCUUGAGGGCGGGAGAGGUCGGUGGAAUUCCCGGUGUAGUGGUGAAAUGCGUAGAGAUCGGGAGGAACACCUGUGGCGAAGGCGGCCGACUGGGCCGACCCUGACGCUGAGGCGCGAAAGCGUGGGGAUCAAACAGG